CGCGUAGGCGGUCUGUCCAGUUAGGCGUGAAAGGCCUGGGCUUAACCCAGGAAUGGCGCUUAAUACUGACGGGCUUGAGAUUGGAAGAGGAGAGUGGAAUUCCCAGUGUAGAGGUGAAAUUCGUAGAUAUUGGGAAGAACACCGGUGGCGAAGGCGGCUCUCUGGUCCACAUCUGACGCUGAGGCGCGAAAGCGUGGGGAGCAAACAGGAUUAGAUACCCUGGUAGUCCACGCCGUAAACGAUGAGUGCUAGACGUUGGGGGGGCUUGGCUCCUCGGUGUCGCAGCUAACGCGUUAAGCACUCCGCCUGGGGAGUACGGUCGCAAGAUUAA
rnacentral:rRNA from 1 species